GCACUGCUGAGGAGUCCCACAAUAGAACGAAACGGCCGUUUAGUGU
rnacentral:hammerhead_ribozyme from 1 species